rnacentral:rRNA from 1 species
UACGAAGGGGGCUAGCGUUGCUCGGAAUUACUGGGCGUAAAGCGCACGUAGGCGGCUUCUUAAGUCGGUGGUGAAAUCCUGGAGCUCAACUCCAGGACUGCCUUCGGUACUGGGAGCUCGAGUCCGGGAGAGGUGAGUGGAACUGCGAGUGUAGAGGUGAAAUUCGUAGAUAUUCGCAAGAACACCAGUGGCGAAGGCGGCUCACUGGCCCGGUACUGACGCUGAGGUGCGAAAGCGUGGGGAGCA